AGCAGGCAGAAGGAUUGGGAUGGAGCUACUGAAGCAAGCACUAUUGAAAGAGACUUUCCCAAGCUGGAGUGGGCAGGAGAGUUUCUCAGUUGUUAAGAUCAACUAUAUCAUUUCAAGCCAAGGAGGUUGGGCUGGAAAUCCUGAAGCAGAGUAUAGAGAAAGAGCAUUUCCCUGAUUUGACUGGCCAUGAGAAAUUUUGGCUUGGUAAUGUCAAAUACAACAUCUCAAGGAUACAUGUUACUGCUGUUGAAUUACCCAGUGCUUCCAUCUCCCUCCUACCAGGGUCUGGGAUAAAACUGGUGAUUGGAAAUGCUUCUCUAACCAUUGAUAUGAACUGGAACAUAAGGACCUGGAUGUUCUUCCUGCCUAACUUCUUUAUCAAGUAUCUGAAGAAGCCCAUUCACAGGAGCUUGGUCACUAAUUCGUGUCCCAAUAUCAGAGCUGGGGUCCAGUUGAUAGAUGGAGACCUCCGAUCACCGAAUGCUGUAAUGCAGAUUGAUGAUUUGGCUGAAGUGGACUACUCCUUAAGUGGCUUGCCAGCAGUAUUCCAACCAUUCAUUGACCUGGACUCAAAGACCUGCAGCUAUUUUAAUAUAAACACAGAGAUAUUUAGCAGUAUCAUCCCUGAGGUAGCUAAAUAUUCAGUUACACCCUACCCAGUGAUGUUGAAGCUAAUGCCUACUGAAAUCCCUAUCAUCAGCUUACAGCAGAAUUCCUUCAUGGUAGAGAUUCAGGGCUCUGUGGAGGUGUUGGCCAUUCUGCCAGACUCAACCACCCAGUCUCUGUUCACACUGAACAUAGUAAGUACAACAAACAAG
rnacentral:lncRNA from 1 species